rnacentral:rRNA from 1 species
AGCCUAAAAUUGAUAGGCCCUACGCCCCCUAUCCGCCCGGGUACUACGAGCACCAGCUUGAAACCCAAAGGACUUGGCGGUGCUUCACAUCCGUCUAGAGGAGCCUGUUCUAGAACCGAUAACCCCCGUUAAACCUCACCCUCCCUUGCUUGUACCGCCUAUAUACCGCCGUCGUCAGCCUACCCUGUGAAGGCCUAGAAGUGAGCAAAAUUGGUAAGACCCAAAACGUCAGGUCGAGGUGUAGUGAAUGAGAGGGGAAGAAAUGGGCUACAUUUCCUAAAUUAGGAAAUACGAAUAAUGAACUGAAAUAAGCAUUUGAAGGUGGAUUUAGCAGUAAGCAGAAAAACAGAGUGUUUCGCUGAAGUCAUGGCAAUAAAGCACGCACACACCGGCCG